UUGACUCUGCGCCUCGAGACGCGGGGUACGACUGAUGGGCAGUGGAGAGAUCGACCUCCGGCAGGCGCGCUGAGCCGUGGAGCGGGAGGGAGACCGCCGCCGAGAGCCGCGCCUGAUGGGUUUGGAGAACGGACUCGGGAGCCGAGUGGAUUUGGACCCUGAUCUUGCAAGCUGUAUUUUGUACCCGUGAAAAGUGCUGCAGUGAUAUGCAGUAGUGGUAUGCACAGGUUCUAGCUGGUCUGAAUAAAACACCCUGGCAGGAGGACUGGAGAGCCGACGGGGAGCGGUGAUAACUUCAUAUUGGCUAAGGUUGCCUGCGAACUUAACAAGAAACAGCCCGGUCUCCUUGUGCCACCUAUGUCGCAUAGGCAUUUGGUACGUUAGCAUGGGAUUUAAUUUGGGCAUUUAAAGCUGCCUGCAUUAGCUCGUCACGGUGGGUCUUUUCACCCAUCUUUUGUGUGUGUUCUUCCUUGCAAAUGUGUAUUUACUGCAGCACAUUUUCAAAGGGAAUCGAGAAAGAGAAAACUAAAAGCUACACGUAUUAGUAUUCCUGUUUAAUUUAAUAUCAGCUUACAAGGUGGAAAUUAAAAUGAUUUUUCUGUCACUGUUAUCUCUCUUCACUUGGCAAAGAUCGAUUUCCUUCUUCCCCACUGCUUACUAAUAAGACA